UACGUAGGGGGCAAGCGUUAUCCGGAUUUACUGGGUGUAAAGGGAGCGUAGACGGCAGAGCAAGUCUGAAGUGAAAGCCCGCGGCCCAACUGCGGGACUGCUUUGGAAACUGCCCGGCUAGAGUGCUGGAGGGGUAAGCGGAAUUCCUAGUGUAGCGGUGAAAUGCGUAGAUAUUAGGAGGAACACCAGUGGCGAAGGCGGCUUACUGGACAGUAACUGACGUUGAGGCUCGAAAGCGUGGGGAGCAAACAGG
rnacentral:rRNA from 1 species